rnacentral:miRNA from 1 species
AGUGGCAUCGACGACGACGACG